GUCGGACUAGCUGGUUCAGAUCAUUCCGAUAAAAUCGGAAGGGUCACUGGUUCGAACCCAGUAGCCUCCA
rnacentral:tRNA from 2 species